UCCAUGUGAUUUUGACUUUGCACAACGAUAUUCUUUUUUUAAAUCUCACUCUGUGCAUCCUCUCAGUCUAUAGCUCUUCCCGGCAGAUAUGGAUAAAAACAUCACGGAGUGCUUUCAAAGAGUAAUCCUGGGUUUCUUACAUCAGGGUCCUGCAGAGAGAGGGCGCUUGCUGAAUGGCUUGUUAGAUACAUAGUGCCAGCUUCUUGGGCUGGCCCAGUCAGGUGGUGGUUUCACAGCAACAGGAGAUGAUUCUGCAGCCCACUGGGCAUCCACGGAAAAGCCUAUGGAAAGCAGCAACAAGUAAAAGUUUAGCUGUCCUAGGCGAGGAGAUGUGAGCAAGCUGGAUUUUGGAGGAUCGAACAGGGCACGUCUCUGGAGCCUUGAACCUCUCCAGCACCAUCAGCAGCUUUGGUCUGGCGCCGGCCGCAGCAGCUGGAAGUUCAGAAGUCAGUGUCUUGUGAAGCCAGGCGCUCUAAAUCUAAUUCCAGACACAGGCUGCUGCCAGUUGCAAAGAGCUGCUUCUUCCUCUGGGACACGUUUCUCCAUGAGUUACAUCAAGGUCCUCAGUAAAUUGGCAUAUGGCAAUAGUCAACAGCUGGACAGGAAGCCAGGGGCCUUGGGUUCAAAUCCUGUCUCUGCCACUCGAGUUUUGCCUUUGUGAUUGCAAGCCACCUAGACUGCUUAAGCUAACGGAAGUGGGGGCAGAGUCAUUCACUGUAAAAUCACAGGAAAGUUUUGAAGGUAGGUGCAGACUUCUAGAAGGCAUGAUACGUCUUUCUUUACUGGUCCUUUCUGCAUCAUUCCAUGCAUGCAUCGGUUCACCUCGCUUUCCCUGGCCGUGAUAGGUUAGUUUUUCCUCAAUGGUUAUGAGUUGGAGCACAGCUGCCUCUCUGCUUUUUUACAGGUUGACGACCUCUCAUCUAAAAUGGAGAAGCCCCAAAUACCUCCAGAUCUUGUGAGCACUUCCACAGAGUCGCAAAGAAUAGAAGUGGAUUGUUCCAGCUAUGAUCAACAUCUGAUAUCUCUCAACGUAGAGCUAAGAAACAGACCAUGCUCCCAGAGCUAAGGGCCCUGGGAUGCAUCCCACUAAUGAGCAUUUCAUGACUCGUUCAACCGCGAUUUCCUACAACCCUCCCCAUCUGUACCUGAUUCUUCCAUCAUGAAAUGAAGGUGUCUUUUUAAUACUUUUAAUAGUUUUAUUGCAUUAACUGAGAUUUUCUAAUUCCCCAGAGCAUAUAGGAAGAAAUGCUAGCCCUUAAGAUUCCGUGCACGAAGUGAGCUCUGAGUUCCAAUGGAAGAUGAUAUUUUUACCAGACACCUCUUGGACAUUCACCUAGAUCGCAUGUGUAGUUAAGGCUCUGGCAAAUCCUUUAGUGUUAUUACAGGUUUACUCCUUUGUGGGGGUUCUUCUUUUCAAGUAUUAUUUUCUUUAUUUAUUCUUCUCUCGUACAUUAAUUACAUCCGGACUGCAGUUUUACCUCUGUCCUCACCCCCCAGUUUCUCCCCCACCUCCACCAUCCACUCCGUCUCUGUUUCUCUUUAGAAAAGGGCAGGCAUCCCAUAUGAGCCAAACAUGGAAAGCCAAGGUGCAGUAAGACUGAGCACAUGCCCUCACAUCAAGGUUGGAUGCUGGAACCCAAUGAGAGGAAAGGGGUUCCAGGAGCCCCUGCUCCCACUGUUAGAAAUCCCACAAGAAGAGCAAGCUAUACAGCUGCAGAGGGCCUAUGUCAGACCCAGUGCUUAUUAGUUCCAUCUCUGUGAGCCCC
rnacentral:sRNA from 1 species